rnacentral:rRNA from 1 species
AACGUAGGAGACAAACGUUAUCCGGAGUUACUGGGCGUAAAGGGCGUGUAGGCGGCCUUUUAAGUCAGACGUGAAAACCCUGGGCUUAACCCAGGAACUGCGUUUGAAACUGGAAGGCUUGAGGACCGGAGAGGGUAGUGGAAUUCCCAGUGUAGCGGUGAAAUGCGUAGAUAUUGGGAGGAACACCAGUGGCGAAGGCGACUGCCUGGACGGCACCUGACGCUGAGGCGCGAAAGCUAGGGGAGCAAACGGGG